UUUAUUUAGAUUUCCAUUUGGUGGUAUUGCAUCUGUAUUUUGGACAGUUACUAUAAUUUGACCAUUUUUCCAGCUAUGAUCACCAACUUGAGACAACUAAAAUUGUUGAAGAUCACACAUAGCUACGUAAUGUUACAGUUUUACUUGUACGUGUAAAUGAAUAUCGAGGAUGGCAGCUGAAAACAACGCAAUUAGACAUUUUA